rnacentral:lncRNA from 1 species
GUAGUCCCUAUGAAGCAGGUCAGACCUUGCCUCAGCCACAAAGAGCUCAUGGGGAUAUCAGUUCCCCCAAAGUGGGAUCAAGUGCUGGUAGGGGUGGGGACAUGAGACAGAGAAGGGAACAAAGCCUGGGAAGACGCAUCCCAGCACAGUUUUACCGGAGAUGGCCUCAGAGCUACCCCGCCUGCCCAAACAGCCGUGGGCUGCUGUAUCCCCAGCAGGUGUGGCUUGUAAGGAGCCUGGCAGCCAGAGAUGGCCUCAGGGAAAGAAAGGUUCUGGCUCAUAUCACCUCCUUCAGGAAGCCCACCUGGCCUGCUCUGUACCUGAGAGCCUCCCAGGCCUGGCUGGCACCCCAUCAGAAGUCAUCUGUUUGGAUAUGGUCCCUCCAUUGCCUUCCAUGGGCUCCCAUGUGUCCUGGUGAUGACCUCAGGCUGCACAUGGUCCCAUGUCCAGGGCCCUGCCCCUCGGGGCCACACCCUCUGAGCAGCCCAGGCUCCAGCUCCCUCCGCUGAGAUUCCUAGGUCAGUGCCAGCCUCAGACUUAGGAAGGUGGGCAUGCGGGAGGCAGGGAAGGCCAGGGUUGUCAUGGCAAAACCCUGUACCCAUUCUGUCUUCCCACCCCCCUGAGAACCCCUCAGGACAGGCCUGGGCCAUAUCCUCUGGGCCAGACUUAAAGAAAGGCCUGCUCAGCCCCAGCAGGUGAGCUGGAACCCUUCUCCCCAGACAAGCCACACUCCAUGCCCUCCCCCACCUCCAGCAAGGCUGGGGUGCAGCCCAGGAGACCCAGCAGAGGCUGAAGCCCAGCCCUCCAGGCACCUGUAGGCAGGAGCACACCCAGCUCUCGGACCUCAGAAUCAGCCGUGGUGAGUGUGGUCCUGUAUUCACAUGGCCAGCAUGUGUUUUCCACCUUCCUGUGCUCCGGCCAGGUGGCCCCCCGACACCAAUUCUCAAGGCAGGCGCAGGUCAACUUCAGCUCAGCCUGGUGGGCUCCGGCCGAAUGAUGGUCCUGAAUGGCAGCUCAGCUAUCAAUAUCAUUGUGUGACUACAAGAGGAAGAAACAGUUCAUCCUGACAUGCUCAUUCUGCAGACCGCCACUGAGCACCUCCUGGGGACCAAGCCUCAGCUGGCUAGUGGCCUCUAAACCAAGCUGUAUCAGUCAGGGAGACAUCUAAGCUGUUGCAACAAAGCACCCCCAAAUACAGUGGCUAAAACAA